CUGAAAGAUACAUGAAAGCGAAAUUCACUCUGACAGCUUACAGGACCUGCUGGCUGUUGCUGAAGCUCUGCAAGAAAGCCUAUGAGAAACGACUCUCUGCUUCAGAAAAGGAGUGCCAAGGAGGUGCUGUAAGAAGGACAGCUGGAGGAACAGAAAAGAGUACUUCUGAGAAAAGGCAGCUCCAC
rnacentral:lncRNA from 1 species